UUUUAAAAAUGACUCUCGGCAAUGGAUAUCUCGGCUCUUGCAUCGAUGAAGAACGUAGCGAAAUGCGAUACUUGGUGUGAAUUGCAGAAUCCCGUGAACCAUCGAAACUUUGAACGCAAGUUGCGCCUCAAGCCAUUAGGUUGAGGGCACGUUUGCUUGGGUGUCAUGCAUUAUGUCUUCCGUCUCUUGUGUUGGACUGGUAGUAGAUCAUGGCCUCCCGGGCCCAUCCUCUUGGGUGUGGUUGGCCGAAAAUAUUGUCCUAGAUUUCGUUGAAGUCUUGGCCUACGGUGGAUGUACCAAGUGUGCAUAGUGGCCAGACUCUCUCGACUUCACUGUGGCGUUUAGAUCCUAUGAAGCCGCCGGCGUUGGCUGUUUGAUUGCGACCCCAAGUCAGGCGAGACCACCCGCUGAGUUUAA
rnacentral:rRNA from 1 species